AGCGAACGCUGGCGGCAGGCCUAACACAUGCAAGUCGAACGAACCUUUCGGGGUUAGUGGCGGACGGGUGAGUAACACGUGGGAACGUGCCUUUAGGUUCGGAAUAACUCAGGGAAACUUGUGCUAAUACCGAAUGUGCCCUUCGGGGGAAAGAUUAAUCGCCUUUAGAGCGGCCCGCGUCUGAUUAGCUAGUUGGUUGAGGUAAUGGCUCACCAAGGCGACGAUCAGUAGCUGGUCUGAGAGGAUGAUCAGCCACAUUGGGACUGAGACACGGCCAAAACUCCUACGGGAGGCAGCAGUGGGGAAUCUUGCGCAAUGGGCGAAAGCCUGACGCAGCCAUGCCGCGUGAAUGAUGAAGGUCUUAGGAUUGUAAAAUUCUUUCACCGGGGACGAUAAUGACGGUACCCGGAGAAGAAGCCCCGGCUAACUUCGUG
rnacentral:rRNA from 1 species